rnacentral:rRNA from 1 species
CAGAGGUCCCAAGCGUUGUUCGGAUUCACUGGGCGUAAAGGGUGCGUAGGUGGUCGGGUAAGUCUGAUGUGAAAUCUCUGGGCUCAACCCAGAAAUGGCAUUGGAUACUAUUCGGCUAGAGGAGUGGAGGGGGGACUGGAAUACUUGGUGUAGCAGUGAAAUGCGUAGAUAUCAAGUGGAACACCGGUGGCGAAGGCGGCUUUCUGGAUGAUAACUGACGCUGAGACGCGAAAGCGUGGGGAGCAAACAGGAUUAGAUACCCUGGUAGUCCACGCUGUAAACGAUGAACACUAGGUGUCGUGGGUAUUGACCCCCGCGGUGCCGCAGCUAACGCAUUAAGUGUUCCGCCUGGGAAGUACGGUCGCAAGACUA